rnacentral:rRNA from 1 species
AGCAAUAAUCUAGCCCAACCAACAAAUAAUAAACCCACAACAAAAAAUCACUACCAAAAACUAACCAAAACAUUUUACCAUCUUAGUAUAGGUGAUAGAAAAGAUAAUAGGAGCAAUAAAGACAGUACCAUGAGGGAAAGAUGAAAAACAUGAAAUAACCACUAAGCCAUAAAAAGCAAAGAUAAGCCCUUAUACCUCUUGCAUCAUGAUUUAGCCAGCACACUCAAGCAAAGAGGACUAAAGUCUGAACCCCCGAAACCAAGUGAGCUACUUAAAGGCAGCCAAUACCAAGGGCUAUAAUCCGUCUCUGUGGCAAAAGAGUGGAAAGACCUAUAAGUAGAAGUGAAAAGCCUAUCGAACUUGGUGAUAGCUGGUUGCUCAAUAAAAGAAUAUAAGUUCAACCUUAAAUUUUCUAAAAACAACUUAAAGUUAUUUAAAAGAAAAGUUUAAGAUAUAUUCAAUUAGGGUACAGCCUGAUUGAAAAAGGAUACAACCUAAAAUGGAGGACAAAACACCAAAACAAAAAAUGCCGUAGGCCCUAAAGCAGCCACCACCAAAGAAAGCGUCAAAGCUCCCCACUACACAAACAUUAACAUAAAAACUUUUUCCCCAAAUAAUAUUGAGCUAUUCUACCACUAUAGAAGAACUAAUGCUAAAAUUAGUAACAAGAAGAAAAACUUCUCUUACGCACUAGCUUAAAUCAUUACAGAUAAACUACUGAUUAUUAACAACCAAUACUAUAUUAACCAACAACACUUAAAACACCAUAUGAAUUAAAUUGUUAACCCAACACAGGAGCGCGUAUAAGAAAGAUUAAAAUCUAUAAAAGGAACUAGGCAAACAAAUGAGCCCGACUGUUUACCAAAAACAUAGCCCCUAGCAACAUACAAGUAUUAGGGGUAAUGCCUGCCCAGUGACAUUGUUAAACGGCCGCGGUAUUCUAACCGUGCAAAGGUAGCGUAAUCACUUGUCUUUUAAAUAAAGACUAGAAUGAAUGGCCAAACGAGGUUCUACCUGUCUCUCAUGGAUAAUCAGUGAAAUUGAUCCCCCCGUGCAAAAGCGGGGAUAACCCUAUAAGACGAGAAGACCCUGUGGAACUUUAAAUACAGAUCAACUAUCAUCAAUAUCCAACUAAGGACUUAUAUUUAAUUAGCAUUUGAUCCAUAUUUUUGGUUGGGGUGACCUCGGAGUAAAACAAAACCUCCGAAAAAAGAACAUACUUCUAAACCUAGACUUACAAUUCAAAGUACUUAACAGUAUAAAUGAUCCAACAUAUUUGAUCAACGGACCAAGCUACCCCAGGGAUAACAGCGCAAUCCCAUCCUAGAGUCCCUAUCGACGAUGGGGUUUACGACCUCGAUGUUGGAUCAGGACAUCCUGAUGGUGUAACCGCUAUCAAGGGUUCGUUUGUUCAACGAUUAACAGUCCUACGUGAUCUGAGUUCAGACCGGAGUAAUCCAGGUCGGUUUCUAUCUAUACAAACCUUUGAACUUUUCCAGUACGAAAGGACCGAAAAGAUAGGGCCUACGUUAAAAACAAGCCUUACCUUACAUUAGUGAAAACAACUAAACUAAUAAUAAAACAAAACUACCUUUAGCCCUAAAAAAGGGCCU